GACAGAGGGUGCAAACGUUGUUCGGAAUUACUGGGCGUAAAGCGCGUGUAGGCGGCCCUGCAAGUCGGAUGUGAAAUCCCAGGGCUCAACCCUGGAAGUGCACUUGAUACUGUAAGUCUUGAAUGUGGUAGAGGUUACUGGAAUUCCUGGUGUAGCGGUGAAAUGCGCAGAUAUCAGGAGGAACACCGGUGGCGAAGGCGGGUCUCUGGGCAACAACUGACGCUGAGGAGCGAAAGCGUGGGGAGCGAACAGG
rnacentral:rRNA from 1 species